rnacentral:rRNA from 1 species
AUUGAACGCUGGCGGCAGGCUUAACACAUGCAAGUCGAGCGAGCGGCGGACGGGUGAGUAAUGUCUGGGAAACUGCCUGAUGGAGGGGGAUAACUACUGGAAACGGUAGCUAAUACCGCAUACCAUCAGAUGUGCCCAGAUGGGAUUAGCUAGUCGGUGGGGUAAUGGCUCACCUAGGCGACGAUCCCUAGCUGGGCUGAGAGGAUGACCAGGCACACUGGAACUGGGACACGGUGCAAACGCCUACGGGCGGCAGGAGGGGGGAAUAUUGGACAAUGGGCGAAAGCCUGAUGCAGCCAUGCCGCGGGGGUGAAGAAGGCCUUCGGGUUGUAAAGCACUUUCAGCGAGGAGGCGGUACUCGGAGAAGAAGCACCGGCUAACUCCGUGCCAGCAGCCGCGGUAAUAC